rnacentral:rRNA from 1 species
CCUACGGGAGGCAGCAGUGGGGAAUAUUGGGCAAUGGAGGAAACCCUGACCCAGCAACGCCGCGUGAAUGAUGAAGGUCUUCGGAUUGUAAAGUUCUUUUCUAAGGGAAGAAAAAAGUGACGGUAACCUAGUAAUAAGCGUCGGCUAACUACGCGCCAGCAGCGGCGGUAAUACGUAGGAUGCAAGCGUUAUCCGGAAGGACUGGGCGUAAAGGGUGCGUCGGGGGUUUGACAAGUUAGUAGAGUAAUUCUGGGGCUCAACCAGGGCACUACUACAGAAACUGUCAGACUUGAGUGCAGGAGGGGCAAAUGGAAUUCCUAGUGUAGCGGUGGAAUGCGUAGAGAUCAGGAGGAACACCAGUGGCGAAGGCGAUUUGCUGGACUGUAACUGACGCUGAGGCACGAAAGCGUGGGGAGCAAACAGGAUUAGAUACCCCGGUAGUC